rnacentral:lncRNA from 1 species
GCGAGAGCUAGGUUCCUGCUCUCCUGAAAGCCUCGGAGGCCCAGAGCGGGGAGCAGCGGGCCUGCAACCAGGGAACCCUGAAAGGAAGCGGGUCCUCUGUAAGAUGGGGCUGCAUCCCUGCCCCGCUCCCAGCAGCAUGGGGUCAGAUGCAAAAACUGAGGCUCAGGGGAGUGAAGUGACCCAUCCAAGGUCCCACAGCUUGUCCGUGGCAGAGCUGGGUUUCAACCCCAGGGAGAAACCAAUGCAGUGCUGCACAUCCAAUCACUAUUGAGUGCUUCUCCUUCGUCCGUAACGUUCAGCACGGAGAACAGUGCCUGGCACAUAGUAGGUGCUUAAUAAAACGUGCUGAAUGAAUCGUC